rnacentral:rRNA from 1 species
GAUGAACGUUGGCGGUGUGCCUAAUACAUGCAAGUCGAACGGAGUUAAUAGCAAUAUUGACUUAGUGGCGAACGGGUGAGUAACGCGUUGGUGAUCUGCCUCAAAGUGUGGAAUAACGUUCCGAAAGGAACGCUAAUACCGCAUGUGCUCUCGAUUUUUAGAAAGUUGAGAGUAAAGGAUUUAUUCGCUUUGAGAGGAGCCUGCGUCCCAUCAGCUAGUUGGUAGGGUAAUAGCCUACCAAGGCUUUGACGGGUAGGGGACCUGAGAGGGUGGCCCCCCACAAUAGGAACGUAGAAACAACGGUCCGACUACACCUACCGGGAGGGCUG